GAUUGCGACGUGGUUCGAAACGCGUUUUUACGACGUCGCAAUUCUUUUGAAAUAAAUAAUAAUAAAAAGUGGUUUACAAAUAAAAGGCACAUAAGCUAGCAUGUAUUAAGAUUAGAUAAAAUUAAAUACAACAGUUAAGCGACCGUGCUAGAACCAUGGAACUCGGGAAUGCCUAACACAUUCUCCCAGGUUAACAGAAUUCCUUACUCGGAUUUCUGGUUCGCAGACCAUUAACAGAGUCAUAUGUUUCCUCGGUUCGGGAUACAACCGGUGACUUGGGACACCAUUAAUCUCUCAAGUGGCGACUCUGAAUAAUUAAUAAUCAAAUCCUGUUCUGAUUGUCCUUCAAUUGGAAAAACUCCUUUACGCCUCUUCGGGGGUGUAAGUGAAAAAGGAGGUGUGACAAGCUGCACCUUUGCCCCUACCGCGACCUCUACCGCAACCUCGGCCUCUCGCGACCCUGGCCGGUUGUACUGGUGGUUGUCCAUCCUGACCAGUAGUACGUGUCCUCACCAUCUGUGAGAGAAUAGAAUAACAAAAGUUUAGUUACCAGAAUCAAUAGAUUCGCACAACAAAAAUUCAAGAAUGUGAAGUUUCCUAAGGGUUCGGCAACUUCUCGAAGAUUAGUACAGACGUCUCCAUACCGAUCCGCAAGACUCUACCAAACCUGCUCAUGACUCGUAAGAUCUAUGUAACAUAGGCUCUAAUACCAACUUGUCACGAUCCAAAUCCUAACUGGCGUGAUGGAACCUAUCGAUGGUACCAUGCAACCAGACUUUUUCAAAAUACUUCCAAUACUACACAGAAGAUAAAUCAAAAGUUUUUAAAUAAAUAGAGUUUUCGUAAAAUAAGGGUUAAACCCAAAAUACAAGUGAGGAAAAUAGCCCCAAAAUCGGGGUUCCACUAAGUCAUGAACAUCUAAACAUAACCGGUCAAGAAAUAAAAUGACUAUCAUAGUCUGAAUCCAAAUACAAUGAAAGAAAGAUACAUAAGAAGAAAACAAGGUCGGCGAACACCAGGCAGCUACCUCGUUAUCUCCAACGGUCAGCUACGAGAACUAUCAACACCUUCCACGUCCCGAAACUCCUAGAUUUGCACAUAAAGUGUAGUCUGUAGCGUGAGUACAACCAACUCAGUAAGUAACUGUCGCGCCCCCUUUUUCUCGCAAAAUCGGGUUUAUGACAUUUGGGAUGACAACUCGUUCCUUUUCGGGAAUUGGGUUUGAAUUGAAGAGUCGUCACCUAAUGAUUCCCGGCCAAGCUAUUAUUGUGACUUUAAGUACAAAUAACACAUAAGCAAAUAAAGACUUCAAAUAAGAGGGGAUUUAAACGUAAUGGUUACAAAUAAACCAAAAGUAAGAAAAAGGAACUAAAAGGAGUAGAUUUUCUUAAAAGAAAUGGUUUUAAAAAAAAAGAUUUAAAGAAACAAAGAAAACAAAGGGAAGGGGGAGUCCUAGGUUUAUUAAUAAUAUGGAUCACCCCACACAACACCCGGUAAUCACUCCUCAAUCACGGUAUACACGAGAUGUUACUGCGUGGUCAUCAUAUCCGUAUCUACCCUUCCCUACCCCGUUGAAGUAUUAAAGUGUGAAAUGGUAUCGUUUACUUAUUGCAUGCUAUUACCCGCCCCAAUUCUAUCAGUCCCGGAGGCAUUUAGGACUACUAAUCCUAAAGGGGAGGUAUGUUGGGCUUAUUUAUGGUUUCAAAGGAAACAAUACUAAAGCGGCAAAUAAAAACAUAUAUAUAGCAAGUAUGGGGAAGCACAUAAACAAAUAAGGCUCAAACAGACCUCCUUAAAUCAAAGAAAAGUAUAUAGUUUAGCAUGUCUUACAUGUACUGAUUAGGGUCUGAUUAAACUUAAAAGUUGGGGCAGACUGAUUUAUUGCAUAUUUCAGAUAAGAAGCCCGAGUCAGGCCUGCCAGCUGGUUGUAGCAUAUAAAAAUCUGAUUUAGUUUAUAAACUUUCACCCUAUUGCUUGCCUAAGUGUUAGACAAAGACCUAUAGGCAUGAUAUCUAUUGAUUUCAGAAAAGAUGAAGUAUACUGAUUUUAGAAAAGGUUAUCAGUUAUUUAGGAAAGACGAGUUUUUGACAAAAGAUCAUAAAUUCUAACAGACGCUAGAUAAUGAUUUUAGAUUUGUAGGAGAUCUGAGANNNNNNNNNNNNNNNNNNNNNNNNNUGAAUGCAGAAUUUCAGAAACCUAUAGGCAGGAUAUCCAUAUGGGUGCAGAAUUCCUUAUAGGCAUAGUAUCUAAAUAUGAAAGUGCAGAAUUCUUAUAGGAAGGAUAUCUAUGUGAUAUGCAGAAAUCAGAAAUUCCAUAUGAGCAGGAUAUCUACCCCUUUUACAUACAUAGUUAUUCCCCCCCCCCCUUUUCACUAGCCAUCUCCAAGAGUUUAGUAUAAAGUAAUUACAUCCCAAAAAGUAAAGCAAGGAAAACACAUCAGAAAUUAGAAAGUACAACCAAAGAGAGCCUAAUUCAGACUUCCUAUAUGAAGUAUGAAGUAAACCAACUCCAAGAGUUCAUAUUUCAAAGCCCUUCUCCCAUUUGGGGUGUGUCAGAGUUCCCUAAGAGUUUCAUAAGAACUCCGGAUAGUGCUUACACCCAAAUGUAUCAUAGAUUAAGCCAUAGUGCGGUGUGGAAGGGUCAGCCCUCAGGUGUCCAAGUUCAGAGAGAACUCAAGGUCCCAAGGCAAGGCUCACAAGAGGGGGGCAAAACUUAGAGACUAGGAGAGAGUGCAAGUGCAGAAUUCUGAAAGGGGAAGGGAAACAGUACACAUAGGGAUAUAGGGAAUGGGGGAUUGUAGGAGCACAAGAAGAGCAGGCUGAUGGGCAUACCCAACAAUGGGAUAUGUUGGCACACCCUCUAGCCUGUUUAGAGGUUAAGACCACAUUGGUUCAAACUCAGUUCAUGGACAACAACUCAUAUUGCCAUACCCUAAGCCAUAAUUUACAAACACAUAGGGGUAAUGGGAUAGGGAGCAAAGAUUCACAACAGAAACAAACAGUAUAACAUAGGCAUACUAAGCUAAAUGUUGAACUCUACAGAAAAUAAUAAAGUAGAUAUGGAUACAACGACUGUAAGUAAACACAGUGGGGUGAUACUGAAACUUAAAUCAGGACAUACCAGUUUCAAAGAAAUAAGUAGAAAAAGCAGUAGACUUGUAAAAGCCAAAGUGCAAACAGGAAGACAAAAUACUAUAAGUGUGAGUUCAGAAGAGAUUGUGAAUUUGUGAAGUCUGAAGUGUGUGUUUGUGAAAAAGGGUCGUGCCUUUUAUAGUGUAGAAAGCAGACGGAAAUAAGGUAAGAAAAUAGUUUGAAAACUGAUUGUCAAUAAAUUACACAAGGCUUCCCUUAAUUAAGGGAUUCAGAUUCAAAACGAGUAAAACCAUUUAAGGAAAGGAAUUGAAUAAACACUUUGUGUAAAACAUGUAAUUAAGGGCAAAUACAUAAAGGUUAUUUAAGGACAGGGUUUUGACAGUACACGGUUUGGUGCAAAUAAGGUAAGGGAGUCAAUUAACAUCCAGUAAAUCACAAGGUCUAAGGUUUGGUAUGAAUGAACCAAGUCAAAAAAUAUGAAGUAGGGUUUUACUUAAGUCGGGUAAUAGAGGAAAUCAGUAAAUGAUGGAAAGAAAUCAAUCAAGCUAUAUUCAGAAGGAAGUUUGCACUAAUUGCCAAAUUUGAAAACCAUUUAGAGGAAAAUUCAUCAUAUAUAAGGAGCAUGUGAGCAUGAGAGAAGACUAUCGUGUAAAUCAGUAGAAAAAAUCUAGUGUAGAAGAGUUCAGCAAAAAGUUCAGCAUUGCAUGAAAACAAAGAUGUCCGAACUCAGCUCAGAGACUCAAAGUCAGUCUGAAGGAGUUAAGGGUUCUGAAAAAAUAAAACCCUAGUUCAAUAAAACCUCGGCAGAACUCCCAAAUUCUAGGGUUUACACCUUGAAUCAAGUACAGAGAUGAGAAGACAAGCAGUCGAAUCGAAACAUGUUUAGAGGUUUCAGAAAAGAACAGAAACUUCUUACAUGUUUCUUCCAGCAACAGAACUCAUGAAUAGCAUGUAAAUACAGUAGAGGGGUUCAAGGCAAACAGAGUAAAGAAACUAAUUCGAAACAUGAUGAGAAAAGACUGAUAAGAAUAAUAAAAGAGAGCAUGCUUAAGAAGAUCCUUUUAAAAGAAACUUAAGUAAGGUUCAAUAGAAGAAAAAUAGUAAGAACAUUUAAGAACACGGUAGAAGAAUAUAGUAGGCGAAACAUACCAGAACAUAGUAGAAGAAAAUAGCAGGACGUAGUAGAAAAGCAUAAAAGAACAUUGUAUAGAAAGCACAGUAGAAGAACAUACAAGAACGGAAUAUAGAAAGCAUAGUAAAAGAACAUGUAUGGUAGAAGGAAAACAUAGAACACACUAGAGGCAAAUACACACAAAAGAAAAGGAAAAGAAAGUCAGAGAAACAUUUAAGCAUUUUCAGAAAACCCUAAAUCGUAAAAGAAAGACUUUGAAAAGUAAUUUUCGAAAGAAAAGUUAGGGAGAUCAUUUGAAAAUUCAAAGAGAGCAUAGAUACACAACGGAUCUAAAGAGAUCGGAGAAAACCUCGAAGGGUUAGGGUUUCAGAAGAACCCUAGAAAUGAGAAGGGCAUUGAAAAGGUCACCGAUCUAAGUCAGAGUGGUCAGAACUAGGCUCAAAACACCAUGGUUGAGCAAGGCCGGCGAUGACUCUGGAACCUUGAAUUGACAGAGGUCUGGGUGCGAACCUUCAAGUCCUGGCCUCGAAUCUUCAGGUAUCAGGUGUGUAAGAGCAAGGGGAGGUGAGUAUAGGGCCCUCACAACUUGGGAAGCCAUGGUUUCCGGUGGGUUUUGAGGUGGAAGACGAUGAGAGGCGGCUAGGGUUAGGGAAGGUUCGAGAGAGUUUGAGAGAAUGGGGAGGGUUUAGAGGCGGCUACCAGUGACAAAUGGUUAGGGUUGGGGGUGUUGGUAAGUUAAAAAGGAAAGGGAGAACGUGAGUUGUUGAUCUGUU
rnacentral:lncRNA from 1 species